rnacentral:rRNA from 1 species
AUUGAACGCUGGCGGCAGGCCUAACACAUGCAAGUCGAGCGAGCGGGGGACGGGUGAGUAAUGUAUGGGGACUGCCCGCUAGAGGGGGAUAACUACUGGAAACGCUAGCUAAUACCGCAUACUAUCGGAUCACCCAUAUGGGAUUAGAUAGUAGGUGAGGUAAUGGCUCACCUAGGCGACUAUCCCUAGCUGGCUUGAGAGGAUGAUCAGCCACACUGGGACUGAUAAACGGCCCAUACUCCUACGGAGGCAGCAGUGGGGAAUAUUGCCCAAUGGGCGAUACGCUGAUGCAGCCAUGCCGCGUGUAUGAAGAAGGCACUAGGUUGGUAAAGUGCUUUUGGUCGGGAGGCGUUACCGACAGAAGGAGCCCCGGCUAACUCCGUGCCAGCAGCCGCGGUAAUAC